rnacentral:tRNA from 1 species
AGUAAUCUAGGUUAUAGAGUACUGUUUGUUUUCAAAACAAAAGGAGACUUUCAAGUCGAUUGCUG